rnacentral:ncRNA from 2 species
GCCGUCGAUGGGGAUGGGGUUCCCCGAUAACCGCCGCUAUGGCUGAUGACUCCUGGCGAGGC